GCCGCUGCACCAUCCACCUGUGCAUGUGUUCCACAAGUAUCACCGAGUGAUGCCUUUGUUCCAGACGCUGAGCCGCUGUGGGGGUGCUAGCAGGCCCCUUUGACCUGGAAUUGAAAACUCAGAGAAGACGAAAAAAAAAAAAAAAUCCCAGCAGAAACCGUACAUGGGAAACCGAUCCUCCAGUUCUAAUGGCAUCUGGAUCUGACAGGGAAAGGGGCUUGGACUCUACACACGAGGACAGAGUCUUUAUGAGAUGUCUUUGCAGCUUGGGAUGGCCACGGGACCAA